rnacentral:misc_RNA from 1 species
GAUGAAGAACGCAGCGAAAUGCGAUACUUGGUGUGAAUUGCAGAAUCCCGUGAACCAUCGAGUCUUUGAACGCAAGUUGCGCCCGAAGCCAUUAGGCCGAGGGCACGCCUGCCUGGGCGUCACACGUCGUUGCCCCCCCAUCUACUCCUUCGGGAUUGCGGGGGGCGGAUGAUGGCCUCCCGUGCGCCUCGCCGCGCGGUUGGCAUAAAUGCCAAGUCCUCGGCGACGCACGCCACGACAAUCGGUGGUUGCGAAACCUCGGUUGCCCGUCGUGUGCGGUCGUCGCGCAUCGAGGGCUCGAAAAAAUUGCCGGGUUCCGGCUCGGCUUUCAACGCGACCCCAGGUCAAGCGGGGUUACCCGCUGAAUUUAAGCAUAUCAAUAAGCGGAGGA